CCUGGCGGCUGUAGCGCGGUGGUCCCACCUGACCCCAUGCCGAACUCAGAAGUGAAACGCCGUAGCGCCGAUGGUAGUGUGGGGCCUCCCCAUGCGAGAGUAGGGAACUGCCAGGCAU
rnacentral:rRNA from 2 species